rnacentral:rRNA from 1 species
GAUGAACGCUAGCGGGAGGCUUAACACAUGCAAGUCGUGGGGCAGCACGGGGUAGCAAUACUCUGGUGGCGACCGGCGCACGGGUGAGUAACGCGUAUGCAACCUACCCAGUACAGGGGGAUAGCCCGGAGAAAUUCGGAUUAAUACCCCAUAAUGAUAUAGAGAGGCAUCUUUUUAUAUUUAAAGCUUCGGCGGUACUGGAUGGGCAUGCGUAAGAUUAGCUAGUUGGUAGGGUAACGGCCUACCAAGGCUCCGAUCUUUAGGGGUCCUGAGAGGGUGAUCCCCCACACUGGUACUGAGACACGGACCAGACUCCUAUGGGAGGCAGCAGUGAGGAAUAUUGGUCAAUGGGCGCAAGCCUGAACCAGCCAUCCCGCGUGAAGGAAGAAGGCGCUAUGCGUUGUAAACUUCUUUUCCGGAGGAAUAAAAUCUUGUACGUGUACAGGACUGAAGGUACUCCGGGAAUAAGCAUCGGCUAACUCCGUGCCAGCAGCCGCCGUAACAC